rnacentral:lncRNA from 1 species
GAAAGUGAAAGUUUAUUGAGUUGGUAUUUUUAUCUGUUUCAGUAACUCUGAAUAUCCAAGCGUAAUAAGUAACAGCAUUUUUUUUUAAAGAUUGCAACUUUUUCAAGAAACAGGGGCAUCACCUAAUCAAUCAGAUCACAAAGCUAUAGGAAGGAUCAAAAGUCAAUCAAACGAAGCUGAUCGAAGAUCAUCAGAAAGUAGAUAUGGGUUCGUAGGUGUUGGAGUAGAAGGAAUCAGAAGGAGGUAUACUCACAAAACUCCAUAAACAGAGAAGGAAACGACCCAACUCGUGCAACGGGUAGCAAAACGCCAUGUCCACAAGCUCCCUUGUGUUGAUCCUCUGCGACGGCGGAACCCUACAUAUCAGCUGCCAUGUGUCGAUGGAGACGUCGGCUACAGCCACAACCACCGCACUGUUGAACACCAUAACCAAAAGAUUCUUUCUCUCUCUCUCUCUCUAGUUGGUUU